AUCGAAGAGGCGCGGCCAACACCAGUAAUCAAUUUUAGCCUGCCAAGCAAUGAAAAUUGAUGAACAGGGCGGUCGCCGAAGUACUUAACUUGGCACGGUUAAGGCACUGGGGCGUGGCUGAAUAAGUUACGGACUGUCGUGGGACAAUAUCAGCCCACGUUGCGCUAUC
rnacentral:ncRNA from 1 species